rnacentral:rRNA from 1 species
AGAGUGAACGCUGGCGGUAGGCCUAACACAUGCAAGUCGAACGGCAGCACAGUGGUAGCAAUACCAUGGGUGGCGAGUGGCGGACGGGUGAGGAAUACAUCGGAAUCUACCUUUUCGUGGGGGAUAACGUAGGGAAACUUACGCUAAUACCGCAUACGCCCUUCGGGGGAAAGCCGGGGAUCGCAAGACCUGGCGCGGAUAGAUGAGCCGAUGUCGGAUUAGCUAGUUGGUGAGGUAAUGGCUCACCAAGGCGACGAUCCGUAGCUGGUCUGAGAGGAUGAUCAGCCACACUGGAACUGAGACGACGGUCCAAGACUCCGUACGGGAGCAGCAGGUGGGAAUAGUUAGGACAAGUGGGCGCAACGCCGUAGACUCCAGACCAGUACCGGCGGU